rnacentral:misc_RNA from 1 species
AUGCCUGUUCGAGCGUCAUUAUAACCCUCAAGCUCUGCUUGGUGUUGGGGCAUGCCUAUGGCAGCCCUUAAAAUCAGUGGCGGUGCAACUGGCUCUAAGCGUAGUAAUUCUCUCGCUACAGAUUCCAGGUGGUUACUUGCCAAAACCCCCAACUUUCUAAGUUUGACCUCGGAUCAGGUAGGGAUACCCGCUGAACUUAA